UUAGCCCUAAACACAAAUAAUUAUAAAAACAAAAUUAUUCGCCAGAGUACUACCGGCAACAGCCUAAAACUCAAAGGACUUGGCGGUGCUUUAUACCCUUCUAGAGGAGCCUGUUCUAUAAUCGAUAAACCCCGAUAGACCUCACCAAUUCUUGCUAAUACAGUCUAUAUACCGCCAUCUUCAGCAAACCCUAAAAAGGAACAAAAGUAAGCAUAAUCACAACACAUAAAAACGUUAGGUCAAGGUGUAACCUAUGAAAUGGGAAGAAAUGGGCUACAUUUUCUACCACAAGAAAAUCACACGAAAGUUAUUAUGAAACUAAUAACCAAAGGAGGAUUUAGUAGUAAACUAAGAAUAGAGUGCUUAGUUGAAUUAGGCCAUGAAGCACGC
rnacentral:rRNA from 1 species